rnacentral:snRNA from 1 species
AUCGCUUCUCGGCCUUUUGGCUAAGAUCAAGUGUAGUAAAAAUCAGCACUACAGUGAUAUUUAUCUCUUCUUUAUUCACUCAUAUGGUUUAAGUGUUUCUAAUUUAUAUAUUUUUUAUUGCAUUACUUGUAGGCAACACAGGCUGCCU